rnacentral:rRNA from 1 species
GACGAAGGAUGCAAGCGUUUAUCCGGAUUCAUUGGGUUUAAAGGGAGCGUAGGUGGUCUACUAAGUCAGUGGUGAAAUCUCUCGGCUUAACUGAGAAAUUGCCAUUGAUACUGGUGGACUUGAGUGUAGUUCCGUUGGCGGAAUAUGACAUGUAGUGGUGAAAUACAUAGAGAUGUCAUAGAACACCGAUUGCGAAGGCAGCUGACGAAACUAUAACUGACACUGAGGCUCGAAAGUGCGGGGGAUCAAACAGG